AAAUAAGCAAAAAAAAAAAAAAAAACAAAAAAAAAAACAAAAGUAUGUCCAUGUAUGUUUCCAUGUCAAGGCCAACACAAAUCUACAAGCAUAUUCAGGUUACAGAGCACAGGAAAUAAAUUAAGGGGCAUGGAGCACCUGUAAUAACCUGCAAACCCCUGGAAAGCAUGUACCUGCCUAUUUGCAGAGGGUCUGGAAAAAGACUUGACCGCUUCCACCUUCUUCCUGCAGCUUUAUCAUGCUACAUCUGAUCUGGAAGCCCAGGUUGUUGCAAAAUCUUGAUGGGGACAGACAGUUGCAUCCAUCAACCACCAGAACCAGUGGUUAGGGGUCUCUGAACUGAUCUCUGAUUAUCUCGCUGAGCUUUCCUCUGAUUGUUCUCCAAUGUCAGCUACGGGCAGGCACUCUGACGAGAA